CUCUUAUCUAACACUGCCUUGGAUUCAGUUAAGGUGCCUGCAAGAGCCUGUUAUGCUUUAUCAUCUCCUUGGUGAUCCCAGAUCGUGGUGCAUACCCAUUCCACAGGCAGGGAAACUGAGUGUCCAGAACCAGGGGACAGUCCUGCUGCUGGGAAGAGGCAGAGCAGAGACCUGAACCCCUGUGGCAGAAGUAUCUCAGGGUGCCUCCUAUGUAUACAGGUGCCCUGGGCAGUUCCCUGCUGGCUGAAGACACAGGUGCAGCUGCCAGUUUUAGGACUCAGAAAUGUCUUUCUCUAGAACCUGCUUUCUCCUCAAACUGCAGACAUAAGGGAGUUAGCUCAUUUAUCAGUUCUUGUGCCAGGAUAGGAGUCUCAUCUUAGUGGAUGCUGUGCUCCAACUUAAAAAACUACCUCCUAUUACAAAGAUGAGAAGUUUGUGUUUCCUGUGGCUAAAACCAAUAAGCAAACACAGAUAGUCAUCCUAAUUACCAGGUAAAAUUAGGACUCUGUGUGACAAAUGGUACUGUCAACUCCUCUUACUUGAUGACUAGGUAUUGUUUAUCUUGAAUAUACAUACGCAGUGGGUUGUAUCUGUUUGGAUAAGUAGGGGAGUUAGGUUUUUUCUGUCUUUGCAGUUUCCUAGUGGAUUGCCUGUGAUGCACUAGUACUUUGCUUUAAUGCUUAUUCAGUAAUAAAAGUGGUUUUCUCUCUCUACUACCAUUGUGGAAAGGAUUACCAGGUUGGGAGACAUUUUUGUUUU